GCGGGUGUAGUUUAGUGGUAAAACCUUAGCCUUCCAAGCUAAUGAUGGGAGUUCGAUUCUCCUCACCCGCU
rnacentral:tRNA from 1 species